UAGGGAAUUUUCGUCAAUGGGCGCAAGCCUGAACGAGCAAUGCCGCGUGAACGAGGAAGGUCUUCGGAUCGUAAAGUUCUGUUGAAGGGGAAAAAGAGCGGAGAGAGGAAAUGGUCUCCGAUUGAUAUUACCCUUCGAGAAAGUCACGGCUAACUACGUGCC
rnacentral:rRNA from 1 species